UACGUAGGGGGCUAGCGUUGUCCGGAAUCAUUGGGCGUAAAGCGCGUGUAGGCGGUCCGGUAAGUCCGCUGUGAAAGUCGGGGGCUCAACCCUCGAAUGCCGGUGGAUACUGUCGGGCUAGAGUGCGGAAGAGGCGAGUGGAAUUCCUGGUGUAGCGGUGAAAUGCGCAGAUAUCAGGAGGAACACCAAUUGCGAAGGCAGCUCGCUGGGACGUCACUGACGCUGAGACGCGAAAGCGUGGGGAGCAAACAGG
rnacentral:rRNA from 1 species